GCUAUGGGGCAGCUAUGGGGCCCAUCUGUGGGGCGGCUAUGGGUCUCCUAUGGCCCAUCUAUGGGGCAGCUAUGGGUCACCUAUGGGGCGGUUAUGGGGCAGGGAUGGCCCACCUAUGGGGCAGCUAUGGGUCACCUAUGGGGCAGCUAUGGCUCACCUAUGGCCCAGCUAUGGGGCAGCUAUGGGUCUCCUAUGGCCCAGCUAUGGGGCGGCUAUGGGGCAGGCUAUGGGGCAGCUAUGGGUCACCUAUGGGGCACCUAUGGGGCACCUAUGGGUCACCUAUGGGGCAGCUAUGGGGCGGCUAUGGGGCAGCUAUGGGGCAGCUAUGGGGCAGGGAUGGCCCAUCUAUGGGGCGGCUAUGGGGCGGCUAUGGGGCGGCUAUGGGUCUCCUAUGGCCCGUCUAUGGGGCAGCUAUGGGUCACCUAUGGCCCAUCUAUGGGGUGGCUAUGGGGCGGCUAUGGGGCAGGGAUGGCCCACCUAUGGGGCGGCUCUGGGUCUCCUAUGGCCCACCUAUGGGGCAGCUAUGGGGCGGGGAUGGCCCAUCUAUGGGGCGGCUAUGGCCCACCUAUGGCCCAUCUAUGGGGCGGCUGUGGGGCGGGCCGUGUCCCAGCCGCGCGGCGCCCCACAUCCCGGCGUCCCGCAGGCGGUGCGCGGCACCAACGUGUUCGGCAUCCUGCGCGCCCCCCGCGCCGCCCGCACGGAGGCGCUGUUGCUCAGCGCGCCCUGCUCCGCCCCGCCGCACAACGCGCACGCCGUCGGGCUGCUGCUGGCCCUCGCCGCCUACUUCCGGGGUGCGGCACCGCGCCGCCUCUGUCGGCGGGGUCACCGUGUCACCUCUGUCACCUCUGUCACCUCUGUCACCUCUGUGUCACCACCCCAGUGUCACCUGUGUCACCUGUGUCACCAUCUCUGUGUCCCCCGUGUCACCUGUGUCCCCUGUGUCACCUGUGUCACUGUGUCACCUGUGUCACUGUCACCUCUGUCACCUCUGUCACCUGUCCCCCGUGUCACCUGUGUCACCACCCCAGUGUCCCCUGUGUAACCACCUCUGUGUCACCUGUGUCACCUCUGUCACCUGUGUCCCCUGUGUCACCUGUGUCACCACCCCUGUGUCCCCUGUGUCACCCGUGUCACCUGUGUCCCCUGUGUCACCACCCCAGUGUCACCACCCCAGUGUCACCACUCCUUUGUCACCACCCCUGUGUCACCGCCCCAGUGUCACCUGUGUCACCACCCCUGUGUCACUUAUGUCACCUGUGUCACCGCCCUUGUGUCACCUGUGUCACUGUGUCACCACCCAGUGUCACCUGUGUCACCUGUGUAACCACCCCUGUGUUACCAACCCUGUGUCACCUGUGUCCCCAGUGUCACCACCCCAAUGUCCCCCCCAUGUCCCCGGUGUCUCCUCCACAUCCCCAACCUCCCCAAUGUCCCCACCAUGUCCCCAAUGUCCCCACAUCCCCAAUG
rnacentral:lncRNA from 1 species